AUUAAACUUAGUUUCAGAAAUUUAUAUACACUUUUUAUGUAACUCAAUUUCCACCACCUUCAGGAAUCUGUAGUUGAUAUAUUUGAGGAUUUUCAAUAACUUGGGUGAAGCAUCCUGAGAAACUAGAUAUCAAAGACAGAAAGCUAGGGAAGUUUACAGAUAAGUCUUAUUAUUCUGCAUAUCUCUUUCUACCAAUAAUGAGACUCUCAAGUUUUUUAAAAUACAUUUUUACUGUGAAAUGAUUUUGUUUUUUACUGUGUUUAUGCACAUGUGUGGGGGCCUGCAGAGCUCAGAAGUCAAAUCCCUUUGUAGCCAGAGUUAUAGGACUUUGUGAGCCACCACCUGAUGCUGGGAAAUAAUCUCUAGUUUUCUGGAAGAACAGCAAAUGCUUUUAACUACUGGAUAAUUUCUUCAGCUUAAAGUUCUUGUUAAACAUACUUAAAUAUUUUAAAAUUGGUGACAAAAGCCAUUCCAAUAGAGAAGUGGACAUUUGAAGUAAGGCUUCUGAGAAAUGAAGGAGAAGUUUUAGUCACCUGACCUGCCUUUUGGAUGUGAAGGGCAGGGGACAGUUGAGACUUUCAGUGGCUGCUGGUUUAGUGUUUAUGAGUGGUCAGGAAUAUGACUGGAAGAGCAACUAGGUGCUGAAGGCAAAGGUGGUAGUGAGUUGUCAGUUCUUAUCCAGAAGUAGGUAUUCCAUGAAGAACUAAAUAUUUCAUUUGGAACUCCCUAGAGAUCUGACUUAUGGUAGAAUUUUUAGGGGACAGGAUCCUAAUAUUUAAAGAGGUAAAACUUAGAACAUGCUCUAGAGAAUAUAGGAAAAGAUUGGUGGAGAAAUUGGAAAAGGUAAACACUAGUGCCAUGCAAGCUAGAGAAAAUAUGGCCUGCAUGAGCCCUUUGCAUGUGGUAGUUCUGAGGUCUGAUCUAGUUACAAGAGAGAUGCAAAAUCACAGGAUUUGCUCAAAUGCUCCUGUUAGGAAUUUUUCAAAGUAUUUCUUCACUGUGAUCCCAACCUGCCUUUGAGUAAGGGUGGCUGUAGACUAUGGACAGCAUGCCCAAGGCAUGCUGAGUUCACAUCAUUCCUUUUCUUGUACAAGUUUCCUGCUGUCACUUGCAAGCUCCAUGAAAUGUUCACAUUUCAUUAUCAUUAACUGGAAAGCAUCUAACUCAAGCAUGGAUCAAGUGACAUUUCUGCUGCCCAGUUGUCUGGAAAAACAUAAAAAAGCCAGUGAGAAACUGUGUAUAAUGAAUUGCUCAAGUUGGAAACAAGAUGUCCACACCUGAGGAGAAAAGCUAUGAAAAUCGUUUCUUGUCAAUAAUCAGCACUUUAUAAAUGAAUAUGAAAUGACCACCAGAUAAAAUGCAGCUUAGAAUUUUCAUCGAUUCCACCCCAAAUUAUUGUGUAUUGUGGAUCUCAAAGUCAGUCUGCUGGAUUUUGGGGAUACUUCCAGUAUGCAAGAAGAUGAGAAAUCCACAGAACUAGAAGACAGAUGAUGCCUUCAAUUAUUUGGAAGAAACAGAAGUGAACCCAGAGAAGAACGGAUGUUAUAGAAUAAGUAUCUGAUUAUAGGCAUAAUAAAGCAAUGUUUUGAGGGUUUGCUUUACAGUGAUGACUUUGUCUUAAGGAAGUGUUUAUAUGAGCAUGAAGGAACAAUUAGCUCUACUUCUUUAUUAAAGAUAUAGCAAGAAAGGAUCUAGAAUGGCUAACUGGUCACGCAUAUAACCUUAUCACCCUUAAACUAAAGAAAAUCUAGUUUUCAGGGCUUGCUAUGUGAUUUGUAGCAUCUGCAAAAGCCAUGCAAGGUAUCUAUGAAACCCUAUAGUUCUCAUUCAUUUAUUUUGCAUUUUACUAUAUAUUCAAAAAAACACCAUUACCAGUUUUUCAAAAUAGCAUUUUUCUCAGUUCUGGAAUUGGUUUUUCUCUUUUUUAUGACAGUUUGCUACUUUACAAGAAACUUGUAAGUAUUCUAUAGUCUUUGAGAUGCCUAAACGCCUUUCAUUCUUUGGAAACAAACAUUGGAUAAAUGAGGUGAUUGAAACCCUGUAUAGCACCGCAAAUACUUGGAUUAGAGUAUAAUGUAUCUAUUUUAUUUAAAAGUGUUAUGAUAGAAAGCUGCCAUUAUAGAUUUUAGCAUACUUUUGCUCUGGUGGCAUCUUAGGCUAUCAGUCUUGAGUGUGUUUUUCCAAAAGGGAAGAUUUGUCCUGUCAAUCAGGCUAGAGGCAGGCAGUGACAAGGGCUUGGCCUGUAUUGAGGUGCAGGUCUUUUGGAAACCUCCAUUUUUAUUUUCUUUAUUAUCUUUUUGUUCUUUUUGUAUGUGAAGUGUAAAAUUUCUUAUUUCCAAAUGGAGUAGGCUCUUCCUCCUUUUCUACUGGCCUUUUGGAAGAAAAAGCAACUCCUUCUCAGUUGUGGGCUGUGAAAAGAUGAAACUGUCAGAGAGCCGAUAAAGCACAUAAUGGCUAGCAAUGUUCUGUCUUCUGGGGUUAGAGACAAAAUAGUUGAUUCAGCUAGGUCACUUGGUGUGCUAUUCAUUGCCCUGUGACUCAGUAGGGGUCCCUUGACAUUUUCUGGGACCCCCUCACUCAUAGUAGUUGCUCAUUGUCGUGGGGACAACUGAUGGCUUCCAAAUUCCCAUCUCAGAUUUUUUUUUUUUAUGAGUAGAAAGUAGAAAGUAAAAGUGAAAAAUACCAUAUUAAAAACAACAUUUAGAGAUCAAUGAGGGACAUUCCAUGGGAAAUGAAUUUUGAUUGAUUGCAAAAUCAGCUUGAUUCACUCAGCUCGUCUUUGGCUUAAAAAUAAGUUUUCCUUGUUUUUUGCACUGUGUUUGAAAUAUUUACUCUUGCUGGAAGUUGCCAUGGAAUGAAUAUAGAUACUGGACAAGAAGAAAAUGUAACAUGUAUAGAGUUGAGUUGGAUACACAAAGGAAGUUAUGGUAAAUUGUAUGUUUGUACACAGCUGUACAAACAUUCUAGGUAUAAGUUCUUCAGAGGACAUUUUCUUUUAUAGUAUGGAUAUAUUUUUUUUCUAUGUAGAUAUGGGAACAGUUUUCUAGGCAAUGUUGAUUAAAUAAAAGUAACAUUGUUUUACUUAGUAGUAAAGAUAAGGUGUUUGAAGAAAAACAGUGGAACAAAAUAAGAAAGAGAAAAUAUUUAUUGAAAUGGGUGGACUAGAAUUUUUGGCUUUUGGAGUCCCCUCUGCUUUUCAGAGAGGAUCCUUUUCCCUUUGUGUCUGCUGUGUGCAUGUGUUUCUCACCCCCCAAUAAACUCUUUUCUUUAACUGUUGAUUCUAUCUGUAUUAUUUGAGAUUUUCUCUGCUUCUACCUGUUGCACUUUAGAUUUUUCUCUUCCUAGAAAACUCACCCUUUCAAGACCCCUAGAAAGUAUCCAUUUUAAGGCCCAUAGAUUGUAUCAAUAAGGUGGCUAAUUGGCCCACAGUUGUCUAACAUGUCCUGAUCUGGCCUGGAAUUUGAGCCAGUCCAUCAGUAUUGGCCCUGCUGACAGAGAAAACAAAAGCUUACAAGACCUGUGUUUCAGGUUGCCAGUUUUUGUCUCCGGUCAGGAAGUUAAGAAGCCAGCCAUCUUGGAAGUUCACCACCCUUCUUACCUAGUCGUGGUCUCUCUCCCUAUCUGUCUACCUUUCAGAGAAUCUAACACCUAGUCCCUCAGUGCUGUUUUAAAGAGGAAGCCUUGAUAAGGUAGGAGGUUAAGUCAGGUGUCACUCCUCAGAAAUCUUCCAUUUUGUUUUCUAAGACAUGAUCUCCUGGUUACCAGUUUCUCUCAGGCUCUCUUUUCUUUUCACUUGCUUUCUCCACCCUUUCUGUAUUUGAUCAAAACACAGGUGCAGUACAGCACAAUGCCAUGACAAGAUAAUCUAGAGGCUCUAACUCAGGGGUGCCCUCAUUCGGUCUGCUAGUUCACUGGAGCUUUCUUCUGUAAGACCCACUGGUUAAAAGCACUGAAGACUUCCUACUGGUCCUCUUUUUUUUUUUUUUUUCUUUUUUUUUUCUUUUUUUCUUUUUUUUCUGAGACAGGGUUUCUCUGUAUUGCUUUGGAGUCUGGUCCUGGUACUCAAUUUGUAGACCAGGCUGGCCUUGAACUCACAGAGAUCCGGCUGCCUCUACCUCCCAAGUCCUGGAUUAACAGUGUGCAUCACCAAUGCCCGUCUUUGAUAAUAUGGAGUUGUAACAGUUACGGUUACCUGUUUGUGUUCCAGGCCCAUUUGGUCAUUUAGAGACUUAGAACAUGCUCUGAGGAACUAGAUACUGACCUCUGUUUUGCCUUUGUCCCUCAUCCACCCCAAAUUUUCUGUAGAUACUCACUUGGUUGAAGAUUCCAAUAGCCAAGAUUGGCUAAGAAUUCCUGGAAUUCUCCACUGGCCCAUAGCUCAAAACUGGCCCAAAUUCAAAAUUUUUAUUUUUUUAAAGAUCUAAACUGAUUUAAAUAACUCAAUAAGAUGGUCCAUUCCUUCCCUACCCCUUUCCCCCCAAAAUCUCCAACCUUCCCAAGCUCACUUAAAUCUUUCUCAAGGCUGUGGCUUACAGCUAUACCGAGAGCCAGAAUGCCUACUUCUGUUUCUGUAGGGCCUCCGAAUUUGUAUCUACUCCUGAGAUAGCUCAGAACUCUUUUGCCUUAUGCUUUUGGCCUAUGGUUUUUCCUCUCCAAGCCUGAAAAAUCCUGCCUAUAUCAUUAACAGCUAAGAGGUAAAAGUGUUUCAAUUUGUCUGCUCCCAUCUUCAGAUGUAUGCAAACUCGGUUUGGGUAUGGAGAUGUAUGGGUUCAGUCUUCCAGAGUCCAUUGUCUUUGGGUAUGAAUAACACUGAAAAGUUGUCUCAUGCUGUUACUCUACUAAGAAGGCUGGCUCUCCAGUUGAACUUUGGCCCAUCUGCUCCAGACCCAAGCAUGCUUGUUUAAACCUUUAUGCCAAAGUCUCUGUCCUGAGUCAGGGUGACUGCCUGACUCUGUGACAAGGAGAAGGAGAGCCAAAGAGAACAUCCCCUUGAUAACAAAUAAAUAAACUAUUCCUCAUAGAGGUUACAAAUGGCAAGAUGCUUAACUCCAUGAAUUCUCCUCCCUUUGUUUUUGUUUACUGUUGUUAAAGCUUUUGUUGAAACUGGAGCCUUCAGCAUUUUAGGAUUUGUAAGUUCAGUGAGUGUGAUUUAAAAAUGGUCUGUACACCUUAAUCUUACUUUGCUAUAAUAAGCCAUAUGUAUAACUAGGAUUCAACUCUUGCUUAGGAAAAGGAGCGUGCUCAGUGGAUUCACCACAAUGUGUCUUGCCACCUUCUUGGUUUGUGACCUGGUUGGGAUGGAAGCAUGCCCGUGAUAUUACUGCAGCUUUGGUAGAGCCCUCAUCCAGCAGCUGGUGGAAGUAGAAGCAGACAUCCAUAACUAAUCGCGGAACUGAACUGGAACCCAGAUGCAGACAAUGACGAGUGAAGAGCAAAGGGGUCUAGACCAGGCUGGUGAAACCCACAGAAACAGCUGACCUGAACAUCGG
rnacentral:lncRNA from 1 species